rnacentral:rRNA from 1 species
GGAAUCUUCCACAAUGGGCGCAAGCCUGAUGGAGCAACGCCGCGUGUGUGAUGAAGGCUUUCGGGUCGUAAAGCACUGUUGUAUGGGAAGAACAGCUAGAAUAGGAAAUGAUUUUAGUUUGACGGUACCAUACCAGAAAGGGACGGCUAAAUACGUGCCAG